CAUGUCAAAACGAUAGAGCUCAUUUCAAAAUAUUAAAUUUACCCUGCGAUGGACAGCCAGCACUGAGGGGGAGGGACAUCCGUCUUGACGUUUAAUUGGAAUGAUGGGAUGGGCCGUAGUCCAGCAUAUUCAGCCUAGUGUCAGUGUUAGUGAGAACUAUGAUCGUGUACGCAGCGCGUGUUAUUUGUGAAUUUGCGAUCUGUGUUAGAUGUCCUGCUACUAAAAAGUAUUUCCAGGUUCUGCCGAUCCUGAUGACGCGUUAAAUGGGAUUCCCCAGGGACCGUCCGUAGUCCUUGAGGGACCAUGGGCGUCCUUCUGCCCCCGCAGUGUGACGACACUGCUUUUUACGCCGAAAAGCAGGAAUCGCCAGUAAAAGGAUGUGGAAUGGAGUAUGCAGAUGAAGAGGAAAUAUAGAAGAAAAUAAAACAUAACGGUCGCGUCGGUUCGUGGUUCUGGGGCUGUUCUAAGGCUUUUCACAGCAUUUUAAGGUCACACUUUUUAU